CGCCCCACGUGCGCCGCUUCCGGGCCGGCAGCAGGCCCCGCCCCUCGCGUCAGCGGGACACAGAGCGGAGCCGGGGGGGCAGCGCGCACCCUGGCGGCGCCCUCCGGGAGCGGGAAGUUGCAGCGCUGCCGGCCGUUAUUUUUCAAACGCGCGAGCGCGGCAGAACCGCUGCGCGCCUCUGCGCCGCGAUAGGAGGGCGGCCAGGCGCCACCUUGCGGGCCAAGGCAGGAAGAGCCUGCAGCGAGCAGCGGGUGGGUGGGCGUGGGGCUGCGCAAACAGUGUCCGCGUGAGGGGAGACUUAAAUAACGGGAACCGCAUCUCCAAGCUGGCUUUUAAAUAUAGUUUAGCAAGAGGUUUUCAGGACUACUAGCCGGGGUCAAAUGCAGAAAAAUAAAGUUAAAUACAAAAAAUAAGAUAAAAGCAACCUGUGGUGUCAGAGGGUCUGGAGGAGCUGCAGUUUGUGUUCUGUUCUGAGUGAAGUCUUUACGCCUGUCAGCAGCUCCAAGUGUACCAAUCUGCAUUAGUGCUGGUAGAAAUAUUUCCAAAAUAAUGGAAUUCCUGCUUUGCCUUCCUUUUAAAGCUAACAAGAUGUAUAAAUACCGUACUAACUCAACAGAUUGGAGCUGCCUCGAUUCUGAAGUUCCAGGCAAACCCAAAGGGACAUGAGAAAAUCCAAACACAGAAACUGAUUUCAGAUAUGACCAGAAUGACAGAUUUUAAAAAGGAAACUUGUUUCCACAGCUAUUGAAUCAGUCUCCUUCAUAGAUUCUGUUUUUAAAUUCCAUAUCCAUUCAGCAUUACUCCUUGUAGACAAGGCAAUAUAUAGCACUAAUUCUGCAAGUGCUGCUUUGUGGCGUAAAGCAGUGCUCCUGAUAAAAUUUGUUUUCCUUACUAAGUGAUUCAUCACUGCUCCUUGACUAGAAAGCAGUGCAAAACGCUGUUAAAAAGCAUCGCUUGCCCCCCAAGUGCAGAAGAAACUGAGGCAAGCCAGAUGCUGCUACCUCUCCUCCUAGAGUAGGAUCUGAUCCUAGGAAAGAAACUGAAGUGAUGCAGAGUGAUAAAACACACUUUUCCUCUCCUCUGACUCAAGCAGCUAAUCAGAGAAAUAGAUCCAACAGCCUCUGUUGUGCAAGUAGUCCCUGCCUGAUAGCAGCAAGGCAGGAACAGCAGCGUCUUUGUGUUUUCCUGAAAUUCUCCCCCACUGAAAGGGCAAGGGGUCACUGAUUGCAUAGUCUUUGCUCCAUUGAACACCCUCAGCUAUUGUUGAGCCCACUCAGAGAGCAACAGACUGAAUGUGCCGCCCAGCCUUGGAACUGAAUCUUUUUAUUAUUUUUUUUUUUUAAUUGCUUGAAGUAAGAUUCUCAAUAAGUGUAAAGCACCUGUUCAUCCAGAACAAUGUCUGUAACUCGUUGGGUGAAGACUGUAUGAAGUCCUGCAUCUAAAGCAUACAGCUUACACCAAAACCUCUUGGAAUAUGAUCAUCUUUGUUACCAUCUCCUAAUCCUUAUAAAGGGAUUUGCAUGGUACAGGAAGAUUUACAAUGUAAUGGAUUAUUAUUCCAUAAUCCGGGCCAAGGGGAAGAAACUUCAGAUAUUUACGAUUUUUUUUGGACUGCAUUUCAAACUUUUUUUUCAGCUCUAGAGAGACAACACUGGGGAGGCCGCCUGAGGGUGUUCACACACCAAAUGCAGUGUCACCAUAUUGCUUGUAGACCACCUGCUAGAUUUCAGAUGGAUUUUCUCCUCUCCAGACCCUCCCACUCUGAUAUGGGACAUUGUAGCUGGACUCCCUAUGACAACAGGAAAAGAUAACACCUCAGCAAUGACACCUCAGUGGGCCCAGAGGAAGGCUGCAAGGAUAGUCAGGGAACUGGAACACCUGCCCUAAGAAAUGCUGAGGAAGCUGGAGCCUGGAGAAGGCUCUGGAGAAGAUCUCAUUGCAACCUUCCAGUACUUAAAGAGAGCUUAUAAGCAGGAUGGUGACUGACUUUUUACACAGUCUGGUAAUGAUAGGAACAGGGAAAUGGUUCUAAAACAGGAUAAAUUUAGCUUAGAUGUUAGGUGGAAAUUCUUUACUCAGAGGGUGCUUGGGCACUGAAACUGGCUGCUCAGAUUGUGGAUGCCCCAUCCCUGGAGGUGCCCAAGGUCAGGCUACAUGGGGCCCUGGACAGCCUGAUCUGCUGGGGGCCACCAGCCCAUAGCAAGGGUUGGGCCUGGGGGGGCCUUAAGUUCACUUCUAAACCAAGCCAGCCUGAUUCUACAUUUCCAUGAAUGACUGUGCAUACUUUGCCCAAAAUAAAUCUUGGAAUAGGCAGACUUCGCUCUUCAGUGCAAGAAAACCAAUAAAAGGUUAGUCAUUUUCUUCCCUGAAGAGGACUUGAAAGAUUCAGCUAUGAAAACCAAAAUGGACUAAGCAUGCCCUACGUGCAAGGCUUUAACAUACCUAUAUUUUGUAUUAACUAGGGAAUGAAAAGUUAUUUUGGCUGAUAAAUUUCUCUGGGGUAUCUACUGAAACAAAACAGUUUUUCCACAUCAUCACCCAUGUAAAAAUGGGUGGGGGGGGCAAGUUUUCUGAUUUAUUGGUGAAAACAGAAGUUACAGCCCUGGAAAUACAGUUGCUGUUUUUAACCUAAAUGCUGGCUUAUAGCCAUGACUUUAUGUCAAGAUUGUAGUAGCUGCCACUUACCAAAGCAUUUUGUUCCAUUCCAUAAUACUGGAAAGCAGUACUGUGGUUCUGAAGUGAAUUCCCCAUGAUCCCCACUUAACUUUGUUGUUUGGAUCUGCAGACCAUUUGGCGGAUACAAAGAAGCUAAAUGAUAGUGUCCAAUCCAGGUGCACAGCAAAUACAUUCCAGCAGCAGAAAUUAGGCUCUGAACCAACAGCUUCUUCAGAUAGCUUCAGACCACGAGUGUGGUGCAGAUGGUGAAUCCAGGGAACCUGACUGAAUCUUAGCUGGUGGAUAACUUAGUGUGGCACAGAUGUAAGACAUUAUGCAUCUCACUUCUGUUUAUUGAUCUGCCCCUAGCAAAUUACUUACUAAUGUAAACAUAACGUUUUCUCGUGCCAGGCUGAGAACACUAUUACUCGAGAGUUCUUCCACAGAGGAAUAAUCACUGUAAAUUGUUACAAAUUGUCACUGCUUAGAGCAGUUCCCCUACUAUUUCAUCACUUAGUGCUAGGAGUCACCUGCCUCCACAAACCAACCAGUGGUGUUCAUUGAUGCUCACACCGGUACAAAUUCAGGUCAUCCUACUUGUUUACUGGAAAUCUGACUAGUAGCCAAGUCAUAGGUCUGGAAGUCAAGGCAGAUGCUGAGCAGCUGUUGUCCAAGUUAAACAGGCAGGUAGGAGUCUUCCUGCUUUGCGCUAGCUAUCUAGCCCCCUGCUUCAUUUGGCAAUAUUCAGAGCGCAGAGGAUAGUGGAGGUAUGUAGUUUUCCUAUUUAACUGACCAGAUAUUUUUGUUACUUAAUCACUUAGACACUACUUGGUUUGUUUAAUGGCCACUUGUGUGCCAAAGUUCUGCCUUCUGAACUCUAAAAGCCCAAAAUUGAACAAUGUGACACUUGGAGAAGCUGAAGAUCAAAUCUGGAACCAGACCCAGGGCAGAAUUACACUGAGCCAGCAGUGAAUGCAAUUCCCAAGCAGAUUCAUCUGGAUGUAUAGUAAUUCAGUAAAACUAAAACUGAGGCUCAGCAGUUUAAAAAGCAAUGGCUUAUUUUGUCCUUCAGCUUCCAUGCUUUGAUAUAUAACAAUAAAUAUUUCUAUUCAUGUUAUUUUCACUUUUGCCCCCCCUGGAGAAAAAUCUGUGAUUGCAGAAGCACAAAAGACUCUGCCUUUGAAAAACAGCAGAAUGAGAAUUGCCAUUUUAUGUAACCAUUACACUAAACUGGGUACAGUGCUAUUUAGCUACUAAUACUUGGCUAUUUUAUCCCAGUUCUAUACCCCUCAUCCCAGCAGCCGGUCCUGUUUGCUCCUUACUAAAGUUGUGUGUUCCAUCUCUUUUUUUUUUUUUUUUUCUUUCAUUGCUUGCUUAUUUCUGUUUUGCUACAUAAAAAUCUCUGCUUGCCUUCUAGGAAACCCUUCUCACGUGGAGGAGUGUAACCAAAAUAUACUGGAGGAGGGAGGAGAGCCCUGCUCAACAUGCAGCUUGAGCUGCUUAAGGGAGAAUGGGUGUGACCCUCCAGUGAACCCCUGAUUUGUAUACAGCAGCAGAGGGCACUAGAUAACAAGCAACAGUUCUCUGUGAUAUUGACUUUAACCAGGCUCUGUGGGAGACCCCGCUGACGGACUGCAGAACCUGAAGAAUGCAGUGGGUUUGAAAACUCUGCUUCUGGCCUGGGUCCUGGCACAUCCCACAGUACUGGGAAACACUUGGAGGCCUAAGCAUCCAUGAGAUGAGUGGAAGAACAUUCCUGAAGCAUCCAUGCUCUCCCAUCACCUUCAGGAGGCUGUAUGGACAACUGGGACAGUUUGCAAACAAUAAAUGUCAAGAAUAUUGAAGUAAUGAGAUCACUGCCUGGCAGACAAACUGUUUUGAAAGCUAAGAUCCAAGAUACAUAGCCAGCUCAGCCAGAAGAUAUGACCAAGAUAAAGGGAUGGCUGUACAGAAAUAUACCCUGAAAUCCUAUAAUCCAUUUGUCCAUAACUAUUUCCAGUCAUCAGAAUCAAGAGCAAACAAACAAAGCAAUCUGACCUUAGCAGAAAAGAUAAAUUGAACUGCAAACAACUCCAGUGUUUCCUCUCUCUCAUCAACAUGCUCAGAAAGCCCUCUGCAGCCUGCUUGGGAGAGUAGUGGGCGCAGCCAGCACUAUCUCUGCAAACACAGCCCUGCGACCCGCAGCCCCAGCCAGGGGAUGAAAGCAAGUGCCAUAUCAAUUUCAUUUCCAUUCAUCAUUGUUAAGCUGCACUUUAAGAAAGUUUCAUUGCCCAUAAAUGCUCAAAUCAUAAGCAGCUGCACAUUAUAUCAUUUAGAGUGCGGUUGCGUAAUGCGUGUUUCCCCGGAGCUUUGUCCUUAAGCUGCAGCCUGACAGGCAUCAGCCAGAACCAGCCUGCUCUUUAAAAAGAGCCUUGCGCAGUGUUUCUACGUUUAGCAGCUGAACCAAACUUCACAAAAGCGGCCGAAAAGAAUUGGUAAAAGGUUGGGAUAGAUUGACUGUUUCCAAAUUGGAAUACUAAUGAUGAUCUUUAAUGAAGCCUGACAGUACAAUCUGCUUCUUAUUGUUCCCUAAGUGCUGGCUACUGAUCAUAUUCACUGGCUUUAGGUGACGGGGACAGACAGGGACAAAUGGGCCCCACUGGUGAGCCGGAUUGGGCACAGCUGAUCUUUCAACACGGAUUAAAUUAAUUAAAAUGAUUCUCGCAUCAGAAGAAUCAAUCUUUUUAUUUGUUAUCAUCAUAGUGGUUAUUAAUUUUGAAUGAUGUCUAAUUGGUGCCGCUGCUGUUUGGGUCAGCUGGCUCAGUAAUCUUCUUAGCGAGCAGUAAAGAAUACAUAAUUUUAGCAGCUCUGGCAGGAAGCAGGGGAGCUGUAGUAGGGAAAAAAAAAUCACUAACUUAUUUAAAUACCUUUAAUAAUGUGGAAGAACAAUAGAAAAGGCAGGCAAAAUACCUGCAAGACCCAAAUGGUGAAGUGCUCUUAACACACUACCAAAUGAAAACCCAACCACAGCCACUUUCUCACAAGGGUGUCCUCAGGGAAAUGUUUCGUUAUAGUGUUGAUAAUGAUUACAGGCAGAAAUCCUUUCUUUCAUUUUCUGGGCAAAGACAGCACCUAUGUGCACGGUGUGUUCCAGCUGCAGGUGGCAUCCAGCACAGCCAUUCCAGCCUUUGGCUCUACCUGAACCAAAGACACAGCCAAUGCACUCACGCAACCAGUCUUCUGAAAUCAAUGACCAUGACCACAACCAUAUUAUUAGGAGGAUCUGUUCUCCUCUGCAAAUUUUCAAGGUAGCUAAGCACUUAAAAUGCCAGUGGGACUUUAGGACAAAAUACAGAAGGAUCUGGAUGUUGACUGGGGCUGCCCAUCUCCACUGUGCAGAAGUUUGGGCUGGAUGUGUUAUCUUCACAGCUGUAUGCUCAAACGAUUUUAAAUGCUUAAAAUGAUCCCUGCAAGUGGAUGUAGGGCUUAUUACUUCUUAUUUCAUUUAAACAGAGUAAGAGAAGGCCAAGUCUUAUGUCUUAUGCUGGGAGACAGAUUCUACUGAGGUUAGUAUACAACAGCUCUGGACAGAGCUGGUGUACCACGCAGUUUUUCCUCUUGGUACUUGUGAAAGAUUAAUAUAUGGCUGCCAGGGAUGAUCUAAAUCUUGGAUGAUACUCACAGACUCACAGAACGGCUUUGGUUGGAAGGGACCUCACAGACCAUCUAGUUCCAACUCCACAGAUUAAAGCUCUGGAGACUUCUAAUGAACUGAGUCUUAUCUGAAUCUCACUUGAAUAAGAACAAUAGGUAUUAUUACUUACUUUUCAUUUUCUUACACAAUGGCUUACUCCUGAGAAUUUUAUUACUUCUUUAAAGCUGUUUUUAGUGUCCAUCUUUUCAUCUCUGAAUCCUGCUCAGGAUCACUGUUCACGUUUUCCUAUCCAGCAGAGGAGAUAUCCAUACUGUCUGCAAUGCCCAACCACUACAAGACCCAGAAGAUCCAGAAGCACAAACAAGAACAAAAGAGAAAACUUGCAGCUCAGACCAGAAAGGAGAUUCAACAGCUGAACUCACUGACUAAACAAUGUGACUAUUUUCUGACCACCCAAUUUAUAAGCUCUUCUUCAAAACAGGACAAUAUAAUCCUGAGAAUUUCUGUUUUUUCAGGGUUCUUCCACAUGAUCUCCAAUGCUGGAUGAGACACUGCUUCAAAUGAUGCAAAAUCAGAAGCCUCCAAGUUUUUUUUUCCUUUGAGUCAGAUCUGAUUGUAAAAUUACCACUUAGUUACAAGCUCUAAACAUAGCUACAUCAAAGGAAAGCAACAUGGGAAGAGAGAACUGGUGUGUACACAGAAAACAAAGCUCAAAUAGAGCCAAGCUGAACUAUUUGCAGAGAAAGCUCUCAUCUUUUCUAGCAACCAUGAUUUCCACACAACCUAUUUGGAUACUGUCAGAUAUUUGUAAAGAAAACUCAUCUCCUAAUGGUGGUUUGUAGUUUAUGUGUUGACAGGCUUUCUGGAAUUCCACAUCUCCACAUUCUUUUUGUUCCCUAAAUACUUUCCCUGCUGGAAAAUGCACUGAUUCCAAACAACUAUAAUGGCUAAGUCCUCCAGCAAAUGUCUUAAGUACCUGAUUUUGAAUAACACCUUGUCCAAGGAAUUGGUCAGUUGUUAACCUUUAACCCUAUGUACCACCAUGCAGGAGGAAUCCGCUUAAAAUUCUCAUUGUAAAGAUACACAAGAAGCAGCAUUACGGCUAUUUGACCUCAGGAUUUUCUGAAGAAAGAGUCAGACUUAUCCAUUACCUUGCAUGUAGCCUGUGGUAGCAAAGGAGCAGCAAGACAUUCAUAAACAAAGUUUCAGCAUAUGGUGCAAGGGUAAGGCUUUCCUCUGGUCAUUCUUAUAAGAAAAAAACCAUCAAUGUUACAAUAUAUUUUGGUCUCAGUUAACUGUAUUUCCAACAACUCUGUUGAAACUGUGAAAUUCUGCUCCUGCCAAGCUUGCUGGAAAUUUUGCUGCUGACAUUAGCGGUGCUAGAAAGUCAUCAGUCAAGUGGAGAACUCUCUUUGCAUGUAAAAAUGAUUCAGUGGUAAAUAUGCACCAACAAAUACUGAACUCUGAAAACAAAUGUGUGAUUCAUCUAAAUCCCAACUUGUAUUGGAAAGAAGUAUUACUUCCAGGGUGACCAAGGAGAGACCUGUUAGUUAACUCAUUUACUGCAAGAUAUCACUGCGUGUUCAGUAAAGAAGAUGAUCUACAUCUAUAUACCUCUACACCUAUUUAGUCUUAUAGCCCAUGCAAUUUUUUAUACUGUAAUACAGGCACUUCCUGACACACACACAUUCAUUUUUUGCACAGUAUAUUGGUUUGGUUUCAUAGCCAAAUUGAGGAGUAACCUUUUCCUUGGAUGGGGUGUACUUUCUCAUCGUAUGAGAAGUACUCAUCCUUGUGUUUAAAAUAAACAAAGAAACACACUGCACUUUUAUUGUGUGCUUCUGCACCAUUAAAAUUAUUUUGCUCCCACUCAUGGCAACUACUACCAAUUUCAUAGCACCAUCAGAACAGGUAUUUUUCCCUGAAGUUUCCACAAUACUUCUGAUCUGUUCUGUACAAGUAGACUUUUUUUCUGCCAUGUCUUUUGCACUGUUUAGCUCCACUACGUUUUGUAAAUUCAAGUAAAACAGUCAUCCGCAUUCAGAGGUAUUGUUCUUUCACUGAACUACCCAUUACAAGAAAAAUCUUUUUUCUUCUUCUGAAGGACUCCUUAAUAUUUCUGAGUAUUCACGUGCUCUGUGACCAUUCAGGAAUUCUGGAUACUGGGAUUUUUAGUAGGUCCAAACUAGGUAUGUAGUCUUUUCUAAAUUGGCCAUUCCAGUUUACUGAUCAGGAGGGCAAGAAGACCUUAAGAAGCGCCUUGUAGGCAGAUGAUCCAGCCUCAUUUAUCCAGAAGCCUUGGGUCCAAGAAACAGAUCUAAAUAUAUAGAUUUUGGACAAGUCAAAAUUUGCCUGAUUUUCAAAUGCCCCAAUGUUUAAAAGGACAAAAGAGUUCAGAUGCAGAACCUUCCUCUAAAGAUACACAUUUAGGUAGGGUCAACCAGAGCAAACAGGGGAACAAUAGAUAUGUAUGCAUUAAAUCUAAGAGGCUUUGUGUAUUUACAUUUGCAGACUCACUUUUUAAAUUCUUGCUUUAAACCUUUGUCUGAAACUCCCCGCAUAUGAUGAUGAUAAUUCCAACUCAGUAGUUUUGAAGAUGAACUCCAAGUUAUUCACUCAUUGAAGGCUACCUGAAUAUCAAGCUUCUCCUAGGACAGCUCAACAGCCUAGCAAGGUCCCUGAGUUUUAGCACCCACACUGGAAAAUUUUGCUGCAGUUGAUGUGGAGAACAAAUGAACUGUGAAGUAGAAUUCCUUGUGUAAUGAAAGAACAUUUCAAAGAAAAACUACAAGGCCCUAAGAGGAUGAGGACAGGCACAAUCAACCUGCUUGGAGCCCCUGAAAUCCAAACAGGAAUGGCAGCUCUCCUGCUACACUUCUCAUUUCUGGCUGCCAUGCACCCUUGCAUAGAAGGGAACUUGGGCAGGCUGUCUAUGACCUUGUAGGAAUUUCAGAAAACUACACAAGGUAACAGCUGGUCAUGCAAGUGACUACUUGCCUCUCCCAAAGACAAAGCCCUUCAUUUCCUUUCUCCCUACUCCUUCCUUUUCACAGCAGGGCACCCGCUGCCAGCCAGCUCCUCUGCAGCAGAUCUGACAGCUUCAGUUUUGCCCUGGGGGUAAUGCUGCCUCCUAUAAUACCCAAACCCACGGCUGUGAGAAAUCAGGUCACUGCCACACGGUAUGGAUGAUUAAUGAAAGAGCAGCAGUUGCCAAACUGCUGCUGAAAGGACAACACACAUUUGUCUAAAUAUGUUUCCAGAGACUCAAGUUGAGCCAGGGCUAGAGACAAAGAAAUGAGGUUGUGUUGGGGUAAGCUGCAGGCAUUUCAACAACUCUUUAGAUGUUCUGCUCCACAUCCCUGCUGGAGAAAUCCAGGAAGGUCCCAGCUCCAAAAGCCAAGUGGGCAGAAAUUCCCAUCACAUCUCUCAUUCCUCCAAGCAAAGUUUACUUUUAAUCCCAUGAGCUCAAUUCAUAUAUUCUUCAACUCUAUGGCGUCUGGUACCAUGGACUCCACUUUUGUGGUGUCAGCUUUCAUAGCCUCCACAAUCCUCCCAUUCUAUGUCCUCAUCUCCAACAGUCUCCAAACCUCUGUCCCUCAGUCCCAAUAGAUUCUAGUCCUCUGCACCAUAGACCCACAGUCUCCAGCAUGCAAUCUUCAGCUUCCACAGCCUCUGGUCUCAUGGCCUCCUAUUCAUGUCAGUGUUACUCCCAUAGCUUCCAAUCUCCUGGUCUCAUGGAUGCAGCUCCUGUGGCAUCAAGCCAUGAGAUUUCUGUACCAGCUAUUCCACCUCAAGUCAAAACAGAUAACUAAAGUUUAAGCAAAAAAUGUUCCCCUGAAAAUAUGGAUUUGGACAAGAGAAAAAGCUCAGCCCAUAAAAAAGCUCACACAGAGCCACAGAGAGCUGGCAGCGAUCACCACGGACAUCUGUGAUCUCACUACAGCCCAAAACCAGAUAACAGCGGCUCAUUCCAACUCUCACACCAACUCACUCCUUGAACUGCACUCCUCCUGCUUCUGCCUCUCUUCAAGCCAACGUUUUUUUCUUUUUGCUAAGUAUUCAUAAUGAAUUUGAAGCAGCUUAUUAUUAUUAUUAAGGGUCACACACUUUGUUCAUGGGAUACAUCUUGCUGCCAAGCUGACUUUAUGUGGAAAAAGUCCCAUGGUCUUCUAAAAUGACUGCAAUAAGCUGUAAGAGAAGGCUGCCAAAUGAAUCAUGCUGUCGCUGCACUGUGGUAAAUUCCAGAGCACAUAAUAAUGCUCCCAGUUGUUUGUUUGAAUCAUCCAGUGAUGCUAUGUGCACAUUUAGCUGAUGUACCAACACUAAUGGACCAUGCCAUUCUCAGAGCUAGAAUUAUUAAAUAUCUCAUAAAAAUAAACAGCUUUAUUGCUGGGCUCAUGAAUGAUAAUCCCACAGAUGAAAAUCAUUAAUCAAAGAAUGUACCAAGGUAAUUACCAAACCAGGGAUCUGUUUUAUGGAGUUUGUGGUUUUGCAGUUAUAUUAUGUCCUUCCUACACAAAGCAGACAGUGGUUGCCUACUGCUGAAAGCAUGCUGUGCCAUCAAGGAUCAGUCCUAAUGAAUCACCAAGGUUGGAGCAGACCUCCAAGAUCACCCACUCCAACCGUCCACCUACCAUCAACAUUGCCCACUAAACUACAUCCCUCAGUGCCACAUCUCCACAGUUCUUGAACACUUCCGGGGACAGUAACUCCCCUACCUCCAUGGGCAGCCCAUUUCGGUGUGCUACCACUCUUUCAGAGAAGUUUUCCUGAUAUGAAACCUGAACAUCCCCUGACACAACUUGAGGCCAUUCCCUUUCAUUCUAUCACUGUUACCCAGGAGAAGAGGCAGACCCCCACCUUGCCACAACCUCCUGUCAGGCAGUUGUAGACAGUGAUGAGGUCUCCCCUGAGCCUCCACUUCUCCAAAAUGAACCAUCCCAGAUCCCUCAGCUGCUCCCUGCAAGAUCUGUGCUCCAGACCCCUCACCAGCUUUGUUGCCCAUUUCUGAACAAGCUCCCAGGCCUCAAUGUGUUUCUUGUAGUGAGGGGACCAACACUGAACUCAGCACUCACAGUGCAGCUUCACCACACAGUGACCUCCUGCUCCCACUGGCUGCACUAUUUCUGAUACAAGCCAGGAUGCUGUUAGCCUUCUUGGCAACCUGGGCAUACUUCUGGUUCAUGUUCAGCCAAGCAUCAACCAAUACCCCCAGGUCCUUUUCCUCCACACAGUUCUCAGCCACUCUGACCCAAGCCUGCAGGACUGCCUGGGAUUGUCAUGGCCAAAGCUCAGGACCCAGCACUUGGUCUCGUUGAACUUCAUAGAAUCACAGAAUCAUAGAAUUGCUCAGGUUGGAAAAGACCUUAAAGAUCAUCAAGUUCAACCGCAACCUAACCAUACUACCCUAAC